GCGAUCGAACUAUCUUCCAGUCAUCCUGCCGGAACUCUUCUCCUGUCAAAGAACGUGAGCUUCAAGAAAGCCAUGAAGAAACGGAAACGCAUCAUUGCUUCCUCGCAGUUCCUUGAGUGAACCCCAAAGCGGUGAACUUUAUUUAGGCUCCAUAUAUAUAUAAACCUCGCUCGUUCCAUCUCGGUCAGUGUUCUGCUUCACGCGUCGGUGCUUACGGCUGCUACAAUGGAAGAAGCCUUGGAUGAUGCUGCCUCCUCCGCUGAGCUCAAUGGCGUCGUCUUGGCUUCCGGCGAAUCCGAUCGGCGAGCAUACGCCGGCUUUUGGCCUUACUCUCGGACUUGCCUGCCGGUGAUGAGCCAUCGACUGCGUCUUCCAAUUCUGAGACCGCAAAGGAACGAGAUGGCGUAGUGACAUGAGUAGUAUUGAUGGUUGCAAUAAUUCUAUGCAGCGAGUGCUGCACAACGUUUCAUGUGUUUUGGAUGUGUGCAUAGCUUGUACAAAUUUUUAUUGCAUCAAAUAAGGAACAAAAUCUCAAUUACAGAAACAUGGAAAUUUUUUGGUAA